rnacentral:rRNA from 1 species
GACGAACGCUGGCGGCGUGCUUAACACAUGCAAGUCGAACGGAAAGGCCCCUUUGGGGGUACUCGAGUGGCGAACGGGGGAGUAACACGGGAGUAACCUUCCCUUGCCUUCGGGAUAACUUCAGGUAACUGGGGCUAAUACCGGAUAGGAAUCCAUGCUGCAUGUUGGGGGUUGGAAAGCUUCGGCGGAUUUUGAUGGACUCUCGGCGUAUCGGCUUGUGGGUGGGGUAGUGGCUUACCAAGGCUUUGUCGGGUAGCCGGCCUGCGAGGGCGACCGGCCACAUUGGGCCUGCGCUUACGGCCGGCCGCCGUCGGGAGGCAGCAGUGGUGAAUGUUGCACUGAGGGCGGCAGCCUGAGUCAGCGACGCCGCCUGCGGGAUGACGGACUUCCGGUUGUAAGCCGAUUUCGGCCGGGGCGAGGCUUGUAGUGCCGGUACCUGCUGAAGAAGCACCGGCUAACUACGUG